rnacentral:rRNA from 1 species
GCGCGAAAACUUUGCAAUGUGCGAAAGCACGACAAGGUUAAUCCGAGUGGUUCCUGCUAAAGGAAUCUUUUGUCGGUCACAAAACCACCGACGAAUAAGGGGUGGGCAAGUUCUGGUGUCAGCCGCCGCGGUAAAACCAGCACCUCAAGUGGUCAGGAGGAUUAUUGGGCCUAAAGCAUCCGUAGCCGGCUGUGCCAGUCUUCGGUUAAAUCCAUGUGCUCAACGCAUGGGCUGCCGGAGAUACUGCACAGCUAGGGAGUGGGAGAGGUAGACGGUACUUGGUAGGAAGGGGUAAAAUCCUUUAAUCUACUGAUGACCACCUGUGGCGAAGGCGGUCUACUAGAACACGUUCGACGGUGAGGGAUGAAAGCUGGGGGAGCAAACCGGAUUAGAUACCCGGGUAGUCCCAGCUGUAAACAAUGCAAACUCAGUGAUGCACUGGCUUGUGGCCAGUGCAGUGCCGCAGGGAAGCCGUUAAGUUUGCCGCCUGGGAAGUACGUACGCAAGUAUGAAACUUAA